GACGAACGCUGGCGGCGUGCCUAAUACAUGCAAGUAGAACGCUGAAGGAGGAGCUUGCUCUUCUGGAUGAGUUGCGAACGGGUGAGUAACGCGUAGGUAACCUGCCUGGUAGCGGGGGAUAACUAUUGGAAACGAUAGCUAAUACCGCAUAACAGUAGAUGUUGCAUGACAUUUACUUAAAAGGUGCAAUUGCAUCACUACCAGAUGGGCCUGCGUUGUAUUAGCUAGUUGGUGGGGUAACGGCUCACCAAGGCGACGAUACAUAGCCGACCGGAGAGGGGGAGUGGCCACACUGGGACUGAGACACGGCCCAGAGGCCUACGGGAGGCAGCCGUAGGGAAUCUUCGGCAAUGGACGGAAGUCUGACCGCGCAACGCCGCGGGAGUGAAGAAGGUUGUCGGAUCGUAAAGCUCUGUUGUAAGAGAAGAACGAGUGUGAGAGUGGAAAGUUCACACUGUGACGGUAGCUGAUCAGAAAGGGACGGCUAACUACGUG
rnacentral:rRNA from 1 species